AAAAAAUUUAAAAAUCGCCCUCGAACCAGUUUUUGAAAAUUUUAAUUAUUUUAACAGUGAAGAAAUGCCCCGUCCCGUCCGUAGAAAUAAAUCAAAGACUUUCAAAUUUUCCUAAUCUACUCAGUCAAUUAAAAAGAUAUCUUCGUCAACAAGAAAUUAUCAAUUAAAAUAUUUCAAAGAUGGCCGCUUGAACCUAUUUACUUAUCAUAUCUACGUAUUAUCAAUCGAAUAUUUUUUUGUCAGAUAAGGGGGAAAACAGGAGAAUUUUGAGAGGAGGACAGUAGAACAUGAAAAAUUUUACAAAUAAGAGGGGAAAAGCUAAACUAACGAGACAGUGGUAUUUUUAUUCAAAAAAGGGGGAAACUUCAUUUUGAACAUCCCAUCACUGUCAGUAAUCGAUUUAUUUUUUUAACUAAAAUUUAUUCAUUAUUACUAACUUGUACUUUUGUUAAAAAUAAAAUACAUAAAUUUUUAAUUUACUUACUUGCUGACGUUGUGUUCCUUGAAAUCGUCAAAAGAUGCGCUGGUUAGUAUUCGCGAUUGGAAUGAUCUCGAUGAAUUUGAUUUUAAAUGCAGUUCUAACUGAGCAAAAACUCAUCACCGACGAAGAAGAAGAAGCGCUUCGCGAUUCGAAAUUUGAUUUGGAAAAUGUCGUUCCGUUGGCAAUAAGAAAAGGAAAAAAAAUCCUCGACAAUAAUGAGAAAGAUUCGCAGGAUGGUGACUGAGUACCUUGAAAUGUUGAAUAAAAAUUCCGUUGGCGAGCUAGGAAGCAGCGAUAAAUUUUCAAUUUCAUUCUAAUUUUAAAAUACUAAGAGACCGAUUUCUAGCUGUUGAUUAAGUGAUGUCUUAUUUCAGUCGAGAUACCACCUCACCCUCAUUUCUCAACUUCGAGGUUCGAGAACUUUAUAGGGGAUAAAGUUGUAAAUGAAUGAGAAAAAAGGCAACUGCAGUGCCUUCGAUACAUUUAGGACAAUUUUUGAUUCAUUUAUGGAAAGAUAUCAUGAAACUCAACUAUGUAAUUCAACAUAUGUAUUGUAUUUUCAUGUGUAAUUUAUUCAUAUUUAUAAUAUUUGCACUACAAGAAAUGACUUUUUAUGUA